CAUUAACUGGAAUAACAUCGAUAUAUAUCAACUUCAAAUAAAAUUUUCUCUAAACCAUUUACAAUUCCCAAAACCGGUAGUACAAGUCACAAGCCUUUCUAAGAGUAGUUAUACAAUAUAAUUACAUCACUAUUCCGAAACAAGGGAACAAAUGGAAAUAUGUACAAUUGAAUGUGACUCUGAGGACUGUAAACACUAUAACAGAUUUACCUUGAAUCUCCACCGCGUCGAAUAGCUACUAUCGAUCAAAUGUAUGGAUCUGUACACAAAAAUGUACAUAAGUGUAGUAUCAGCACAACCGACCCCAUGUGCUGGUAAGUAUCUAGCCUACCCCGAAGAAAAGGAAAGAGAGGGAUGGGGUUUCUCUCGCUUUUGGCAUAGCGGGCGCCCAGUGGGAGGCUCGCACGACGGGCUAUUAGCUCAGUGGUAGAGCGCGCCCCUGAUAAUUGCGUCGUUGUGCCUGGGCUGUGAGGGCUCUAAGCCACAUGGA
rnacentral:lncRNA from 1 species